GACGAACGCUGGCGGCGUGUCUAAUACAUGCAAGUCGAGCGCAGGAAACUGACGGAACUCUUCGGAGGGAAGGCAGCGGAAUGAGCGGCGGACGGGUGAGUAACACGUAAGGAACCUGGCUCAAGGAUUGGGAUAACUCCGAGAAAUCGGAGCUAAUACCGGAUAGUUCAUCGGACCGCAUGGUCCGUUGAUGAAAGGCGCUCCGGCGUCACCUUGGGAUGGCCUUGCGGUGCAUUAGCUAGUUGGUGGGGUAACGGCCCACCAAGGCGACGAUGCAUAGCCGACCUGAGAGGGUGAUCGGCCACACUGGGACUGAGACACGGCCCAGACUCCUACGGGAGGCAGCAGUAGGGAAUCUUCCACAAUGGACGAAAGUCUGAUGGAGCAACGCCGCGUGAGUGAUGAAGGUUUUCGGAUCGUAAAACUCUGUUGUAAGGGAAGAACACGUACGAGAGGGAAUGCUCGUACCUUGACGGUACCUUACGAGAAAGCCACGGCUAACUACGUGCCAGCAGCCGCCGCCG
rnacentral:rRNA from 1 species